UUUCUCAUGUACCUGCCACACUUUAGCAGCACGUAAAUAUUGGUGUGUGAAGAAAAAAAAAAACCAAUAUUAGCAGUGCUGCUUCAGGGUGGCAGGGUAAAA
rnacentral:miRNA from 1 species